GAAACCGGAAGGAGAGGCACUGGACGUCAAAGAAGAACAUGGUUCCCAGGCUUGCUGUAUGAGACACUGCCCAGGAGCUGUGGCUAGAACCAGGGCCUCUCAAGUUCUAAUGGGGACCAUCUAGAACAGACCCUCAGAACGUGCUGGACCCGCCAUCCUCUCCAAAGCAUCUUAGAGUUUGAUCCUGACAGAUGGACCAGGACUCAGACAGGUGGGGCUGGUCUUGGGUAGAAUUAUGAGUGAGCCGAUGACUCAAGUCCUGCAAGAGCCCCAGAUGGAGCUCAGCGAUGAGCCAAAGCCAUUAGAACUGGUAGAACAGUGACCCACAAAACGGCUUCAAAAGGAGACUCCAAAAAUAGCCUAAAAUACCAAGUUUUUAAUUUAAAACCCAAUUAUUAGAGAUUACUAUGUACAAAAGAAGUAAAUCUAUUGCCACAGGGAGUGGCUGAGUCUGCUCAAGGCCAGGGCUGGGGACCAGGAGUGACAGUUGACAGACGUGGAUUUUUUGCGAACAUAAUGGAGAACUUCAAUAGGGCUGUAGGGGAGUCUGAACAGUUCUGUCAAUUUAGCCCGACUUAAAAUGAGUAAACUUUAUGCAUAAAUUCACAGCUCAAUAAGACUACAUCCAGAAAUACGCACAACAAUGUUUCCAGGAUAAGUAUUAAUAUUGUCAAGAUUUUGACCCAUUCGAGAAGAUUCACCUAACAAUGACAGCAUGUAAGAUUUAAUCGAACGCUAUUUCUAUCCUGGUUGUAAGUUAAAAACCUUUUCUAAAUCUUAACGACCGGGCUUUUAUUAUUUAGAUGUUAUCUUCUUCUUCUUCUUCCAAAAAGGACUUUAAAAUUAAAUACAAUAUAAAUUAUUAAAAGCCAGCUAAAAAGUUUCUGAAAGGCUAAAUAUUAAUCAAAGGCCAUCUUAGACAUGGUUCCCUGGUCGAGUUCAUUGAGAUUCUUAGACGUAGGCUGUGAUAUUUUGGGACUUUAAUGUCUUUUUAGAAGCCUUUUCCUUACACAACAGCCUUGUGCUAACUGAAGUGACAGAGCUACUUCAGGCCGACCAUAAAGCAUGAAGGGCAACAGCCCGCAUCCCAGACUAACCAACCGUUCCUCAUCUCUGAAGCCCCACAGUGGUAGGAUUUUAUAGCGGAGAAACUCAAGACGCCAUGGACAAGUGGUUCAAAGAGCAGGAGCUGGCAGCUGACCCUGCAAAGCCCCUAUAAAUUCACUUUAUAUUCCCCUCCGAUGAGACAAAGCAGACAGCAUUACAAGGCAUAGCUUGCAUCCGCCAUGCAGGAGUCAUUCCGAGCCUUGAGCGCUUAAGUGUUUAGUCCCAGCCUGACUGCUCGGGAAUUCAGCCCCUGCCCUGCAGUUUCCUGGAAUGCUUACAAAUGUAUUUCGCAGGCUGCAGAUAACGUGCCAGCGUGCUUUCUUCUGGUGUCUGGGUGCUCCAAGUUUGACUUUCCAAUUUGGACACGUCGAAGUCUGCCUCUGGGGUUCCCCCACGCUUACAGACAUGUAACGCAGCUCUUGGCGAGGAGUCACCUUUGCUGAAGCUACUGAAGCUGGGGCCAUGAACUCCAAACCUUUUCAGCCCUGCACAGGACAGCCGCAUGUUAACACAGUCGGCCGUACAAGGAAGGCUACAUCUGCAGUCUCUGGCUCAGGGCACCAGCUUUUCCACACAGCUCCUGUGACUAUCAAAGAGGCAGUCACCCUUGCUAGUCUCAAGACCACCAAGAAGACUCUGAGUCCUUCUAGCGUUUUCUUCCUUCUUUGUCUCUACCUUAUCCUAGAAGGCAAGGAACAUGGUGCUCUGGAGGGAACUGCGCCCCAUCUCCAAUUCAUAUUUCAGAACCGCAAAAUGCAACUUUAUUUGGAAACAGGGUCUUUGCUUGUGUAAUUGAAGUUACUUGGAGAUGAGGUCACAGCGGAUGAGGGUGGGUCCCAGGUCACACAGCUGGUGCCUAACGGGAGGAGAAGAGGACAGACACACACAGGGAAGAGAACGUAGGGAGAUGGCCAAAGCGUUGGAAGGACUCGACGACAAGACGGAAUGGCCAGGCUUGCCGGGAGCUGCCAGAAGCAAGGAUUCUCCCCUAGAGAAGCCUGAGAGGGGACACAGUCAUCAUACACCUUCACUUUGCAUGUCGACGUUCCAGAACCUGGGAGAACAGAUUUCUGUUGCUUUGAAAUGUCCAGUAUGUGCUCAUUUGUUAACACAACUCUAGCACGCUAACAUGUGUGAGUUCACAAGACGUGCACCUCCUUCCUGAGGUUGCUGUGAAUCCCAAACAAAUCUUCCGUGCAGAGGCUGAGUGAGAGCCAGACCCGGCCCCAGACAAACUGCUCGGCCACCUGACCAGGCAUGAGCAGAGGCUGGAAGAGCCUGAAACCCUUACGAGUGGAGCCCAACACCCACCAGAGCUGGCUGAAAGGUGCCCGGCGCAAGAGAUUCCGCCAAGCAAGGAGGCUGGGAGGAGGCUCCUAGAUUCCUAAGGGCUCUAAGGAUCCAGGUGGAGAUCAGGACAGAACCAGGAUUCGCAGAAAGCUAGGAAAGUAGGAAAGAAACCUGAAUAUCUAUCUUUCAUUUCUAAUUUAAUAAAUGGCUUUUAUUUUUUUUUAAAUCAA